UACGGAGGGUGCGAGCGUUAAUCGGAAUUACUGGGCGUAAAGCGCACGCAGGCGGUUUGUUAAGCUAGAUGUGAAAGCCCCGGGCUCAACCUGGGAUGGUCAUUUAGAACUGGCAGACUAGAGUCUUGGAGAGGGGAGUGGAAUUCCAGGUGUAGCGGUGAAAUGCGUAGAUAUCUGGAGGAACAUCAGUGGCGAAGGCGACUCCCUGGCGAAAGACUGACGCUCAUGUGCGAAAGUGUGGGUAGCGAACAGG
rnacentral:rRNA from 1 species